rnacentral:rRNA from 1 species
CAGGAGGGCGCGAGCGUUGUCCGGAAUCACUGGGCGUAAAGGGCGCGUAGGUGGCCACCAUAAGGCCGCGGUGAAAGUCUGGGGCUCAACCCCGGAUCGGCCGCGGCGACUGUGGGGCUGGGGUACCGUAGAGGCAGGUGGAAUUCCGGGUGUAGCGGUGGAAUGCGUAGAGAUCCGGAAGAACACCAGUGGCGAAGGCGGCCUGCUGGGCGGUGGGACCGAAAGGUCUCCUUGACCGACACUGAGGCGCGACAGCGUGGGGAGCAAACAGGAUUAGAUACCCUGGUAGUCCACGCCGUAAACGAUGGGCACUAGGUGCGUCCGGGGAGCCGACCCUUGGAGUACCGGCGCUAACGCAUGAAGUCGCCCCGCCUGGGGAGUACGGCCGCAAGGCUG